rnacentral:lncRNA from 1 species
CUCUGACAGGAGAUAACCAGAGGACACUGUCUGUACCCAAAGCCUUGCUCCCGGUCCGACGGUGGAUUAUUUCAAUAGAUCUUCUAGUGCUCCCUUUUUUUACUCUCUCUGAACAUCACAUCUCACGUCUUAUUUGAUAAAGAAUGUGAUCUUUUGGAUGUUUUCCGACCAGUACUGUUUGCUGUCUCAAUACACUUAACAUGAAGAAAGAGGGUACUGAGGAACUGAUCAUAUUGAAGCAGAACUUUUCCUCAUUAAUAGAUUUACAGACUUACAGUUCAUUUAGAUUUGUGAAAGAUGUGGUUUUAGGGAGACAGAGAGUGACUGUGCAACAGAGGUGUGUUGGUAUCAGGGGGUGGUGAACAUUUGGAGCCAUGGGUAGAGCUAUCAGGGGGUGGUGAACAUUUGGAGCCGUGGGUAGAGCUAUCAGGGGGUGGUGAACAUUUGGAGCCGUGGGUAGAGCUAUCAGGGGGUGGUGAACAUUUGGAGCCGUGGGUAGAGCUAUCAGGGGGUGGUGAACAUUUGGAGCCGUGGGUAGAGCUAUCAGGGGGUGGUGAACAUUUGGGGCCGUGGGUAGAGAUAUCAGGGGGUGGUGAACAUUUGGAGCCAUGGGUAGAGGUGUCAGAGGAUGUACGAUAGUUGUAGAUGUGUCAGGAUGCUCUAUGGUAGCUGUAAUCACUGCAUCUGACAACCUUCAACUAGCAGAGGAUACUCUGCCACCAGUCGACCCAGCGAGCCAGUCCAUUCAGCAGUCCGCCCAGGUCAGCACUGCCCAUUUGUCCCUCCCGGAUAAAUAUGACGGAGUAGAGGAUUGGUACAAGCACGGAAUCCCAUCUAAGUGGCUUCCUACUUAAGUGCUCCCUCUAUUUUGCGCAACAGAUGGGAGCCCUCACCACCGAGAGGUCCCAGGUUGCCUUGGUUAUUUCUCUGCUGACUGGGCGGGCGUUGGAGUGGGCUACAGCCAUCUGGGAGAGAAGAGAGGAGGAGCUGGCUUCGUAUGAGGGGUUCAUGGCUCUGUUCAGAGGUAUCUUCGUUCAUCCGCCGUAGGGCAGAGAGGGGAGUGAGCGCCUAUUCCAACUACGGCAGGAAUGACCAGAACGCUGCCGAGUACACGCUCACCUUCCAGACUGUAGCAGCAUCCAGCGGAUGGAAUGAGCCGGCGCUCCGUACGCUAUUCAGAAGAGGACUGCGCGAGAAGGUCCAGACACAACUGGCAUGUCGAGACGACAACCUCUCCUUGGAGCCUGAACAACGCAGACGGAAACAGCUGGGGCUCUGUCCCUAUUGUGGUCAAGGGGGGCACCAGCUUCAGCAAUGUCCGGUACUUCCCAACUCGGGAUCCACGAGAGCAGAGAGACGGUCACGUGAUCAUCCACCUCCUGGGGCAGUUGUGAGUAUCCCAUUUUCAGAAUUUUCUGCCAAACACUUUUUAGUGUCGGUCACACUAGCUGGCUGUCCCUCAUGUACUGUUUAUACAGAACUUGUGGAUUCUGGUGCCACUGGGAACUUUAAUGACCAGACUCUUACCCGCUCUUCUCUCUGUUUCCGGAUCAAGCCUUUGAUAAUUGCCCACCAGGAUCCGGAACCAUCACACAUCAUCACGCCCCUCACCCUCAUCGUGGAGUCCAUUCAUCAGGAAAACAUUCCCUUCAUCACUAGUGCACCAGCUCCUCUGCCUCCCAUGGCUCCAACACCAUAACCCCACCAUCGUAUGGUCGAGGAUGAGAAUCACAGACUGGUCACCUGAAUGCCGGAGGAACUGCUAUCCCGUCCCCUCUCGAGUCAUAGCUCCUGUGGUCUGUGACAUUGAUGUGGACAUUCGCCAGGCUCUGGAAAGGGAAACCGCACCCACUACCUCCCACGGGGAUAAGGGAUCGGCUGCUAACUUGGGCGCACACAGCUAUUGUCGCUGUAAAUCCAGGGACCAUCCGUACUAUACAAUCUCUCUCCAAAAAGUAUUGGUGGCCCACCUUGGCGCAAGAUGUUAUUCAGUACGUCAACUCCUGUUCCGUAUGUGCCCUGGCACGCUCCAGCAGGGAAACUCCUUCCGUGCCUCAGCAUCCCUGGUCGCUGAGGCAGCGUUCCAGCAGGUCUUCUGGCAUUAUGGCCUUCGGGAGAACAUCGUCUCCGACUGUUGCUCCCAAUUUGACAUCACGGACAUGAAGAGCCUUCAUGGAGAAGCUUGAGGUCACGGUCAGCCUCACUUCCGGGUAUAGGCCUCAGUCUAAAGGGCAGGCGGAGAGGAUGAACCAGGAGCUGGGGAGGUUCCUGAGGAGCCACUGCCAGGACCGGCAGGGGGAGUGGGCCCGAUUCCUUCUGUGGGCAGAGUAUGCCCAGAAUUUGUUACGUCACUCCUCCACCAGACUGACUCCAUUCCAGUGUGUUCUGGGUUAUCAGACGGUCCUGGCUCCGUGGACCCGGGCCAGACCGAAGCUCCUGCGGUGGUUUAGGCACACAGAAGAAGUGUGGAGCGAUACCCAUGUGAGACUCCAGCGCGCCGUCCAAUGUCAGGAGUAGGAGGAUCGCCACCGCAGUGAAACUCCCGUGUUCCAUCGUGUUUGGCUCUCUACCAGGAACCUCCCACUCCGCCUGCCCUGCAAGAAGCUGAACCCCGGUUUGUGGGGCCGUUCAAGGUUCUCCGGAGGGUCAACGAGGUGACGUAUGGAUUACAGCUCCCCAGUGACUAUCGUAUCUCACCUUCCUUUCAUGUCUCCCUUCUCAGGCCGGUGGUUCCUGGUCCCCUGGCUCAAACUGUCCCCACGACGGGGACGGACGGAUGGGGGGGUACUGUCACGCCUACUCCCGCUCCCCCUCUCCGGCGCUCGACGUCGCAGAUUUACAAAUCACUGCCUCUGACAACCAUCAUUAUGUACACCUGGCACCAUCGUUACCCCCCCAAAGCGCCUCAUUAUGAGACUCACCUGGACUCCUUCACUGUUUACCUCCCCUAUAUCUGUCGCUCCCUUCGUUCCACUCCCCAGGCAGUAUUGGUUGUGUGUUUCAUGUCCAAACGCUACUCUUGUUUUGUAUCGUUCCAUGUUCAUUGUAUUAUUAAACUCACCACCUGCU